rnacentral:rRNA from 1 species
AUGCUGGCCCACAUCGCGUGGCCAGCUAUCCCUUUCUCAAAGCACUGGCCGUCAGGGCACAGGCCCAUACGCCUCCUGCUGCUCCUUUCUCCAGUUCGUCUUCCUCCUCUGGAUCGAGACCUUGGAGCCUGCUCCAUGGACCUGUCCAUGGAAACGGAGGGCGAUUCCGAACAUAGGAUUAGCCGCGGGCAUGCGGGCAAUACUGGUGCUGCCCGGCCUAUAGAGUCCCAGGAUUCUAUCAGCGUCGCCGAGGCUGACAUUCGCCGUGCAGGGGACCUCCGUAGCGGUGGCGGAGAUGCCGGAUUUCUUGGCGAGGACUCGCUCUUGCAAGUUUGUUCGGAGGCUACGAGCGGAUGGACACGCAGGGUAAGGAUCAGAAAGGCCCCCGCUGAGCGCGAGCUCAACCCGAACCGGAAAAGUGCCCUUGAAUUGUCCAUGAGGGCUUUCAUAUUGAAAAGAGAUGGCAAUGUUGUCAACCCAGCUGUCGGGACCUCUUUUGAUUCAUUGGAUGAAGCCUAUCAAUUCUACAAUUUAUAUUCGUGGGAGCUUGGAUUUGGUAUAAGGUAUUCGAAAAGCAGGCUAAAUGUGGAGCGGGUGAAGUGCAUGCAGGAGAUAGUCUGUGGAUGUGCGGGUAAACCGGAGAGGGAGAAUACAAGAUCAACAUGGAAAGGCAGCUUUUUGCACGUCGGGACGUGA